UCUAUCCCCCCCCCGUGUCCCUCUCCCUCUCUGCUUUCCCUUACUCUACCCUAACGGAGACAUGGAUUGUUGGAUGGAUACUGUAUGUGUCUAUGUAGGGACCCUCUUUUGUCCACACACUCCGGGUGGGUUAAAGCAUUUGGGUUCUUCCAUUGGAAGAGCAAAAGUUGUUCAGCCAGUGGUGAGUGGGGGAUAGGGUUCCCGUCCCCAGGCAUACUCAGGAACAUGGUAUUUGAGAAGGUACAGUUGUUACCUUUGUAUUUAUCUCCUCUCAUCUUUUUUAUCUGGCUUCUUCUUGAAAUGUUGGAAACAACAAGGACCGCUGGAUUUCCUGGGUCCAAGUUGCUGAUAGGUAAUGGCAUUUCUUGUUCAGAUAUGAGUAGGGCACACCAUGGAUUUGGAGUUGUAAUCAAAGUACUCGCUUGAUGGGUUGAUCGAUGCUGGGGAAAGUGAAAAGUUGAAUACUUUCACCCACCAAACAGUUGAAAUGAAUAAUUCAGAUUCAAUGCAUACCUCUGCCUAGGCCAACUAUCAAAGAUCACGAGCAAUGCUUCUUUGUCAAUUCGUUUCCAAGGAAAAGAGGGCUGAAAUUGCUGUUGUCGUGGUGGUAAUUCUACUUUCUUCUUUCCUUUGUAUUUUUCGAGAUCAAAUGUUAAGCAUUAAGGUGAUGAUGAGAUUCGUUUGUGAGAUUUUGCUGUCAAGCAUCAAGAUCUUUAUCAACUAAUUAAUUUAACGAAAGU